CAUCCUUCCCGCCAUUAGAUAAACGUUCACUUUCUGCCGCUUGGGAUUUAUUUGUAAUCGCCGACAUGCCGUCCAAGCCUGCCCCGAUCAAGAAGGCCGCCAAAGCACCCAAGAAGGUUCCGGAGAAGGUGGCGGAGCCGGUCCCAGAGCCAGCGGUAGUCCCGGAAGCCGCCCCGGUCGAGGCCCCACCACCCGAGCCCGCCGAAGCUGCUCCGCUCCCUGCUGACGUCGAGGCCGCACCUGCCGGAGCUGCUACCCCGCAGGAGGGUGAGGGUGAGGCCGCAGCUGCUGCCCCGGUGGCGGAGGGGGAGGACGCGGCGCCGGCUGACGCUGAAGCUGCUGAGGCCGCCGAGCCUGAAGAACCUAAAGCACCUUCACCUCCGCCACCUCCACCUAAAGAGCCAACCAGCGCCCCUGUAGAUCUGUUUGUGGAGGACAAGAACGACACCUCAGUUGCCAUCAUCUGGAGCCAGCCGGAGGUCAUCGGACUGUCAGGCCUCGAUGGGUACAUCAUCGAGACCUGCAAGGAUGCAACUGAGGACUGGAAGGCUGUCAACGAGGAGCUGCAGAAGUCCUGCCGGUACGCCAUCAAGAACCAGACUACUGGGGACCGCCUGAAGAUCCGCGUGGUGGCCGUGAACGCCGGCGGACGAAGCCCGCCCGUCGCCCUCCCUGAGGCCGUGCUUGUGAAGGAGGUCGCCAAUCGCCCCAAGGUCCGCUUGCCUCGUUUCCUGCGGCAGAGAUACGUGGCUUACGUUGGGGACAAGAUCAACCUAACCGUGCCUUUCACCGGCAAGCCCAAGCCCGUGGUAAGCUGGACCAAAAACGGGCAGUCUUUAGACCCAAAGAGGGUGAUGGUCCGCAGCUCGGAUAGGGACAGCAUCCUCUUCAUCCGCGCGUCCGAGAGGGAGGACUCUGGUGUGUACGAGAUAUGUGUGAAGGUGGAGGACUUUGAGGACAAGGCCUCACUCACCCUUCAGAUUGUUGAGCUGCCAGGACCCCCCGCCAGCUUGAAGAUCGUGGACACAUGGGGCUUCAACGUGGCCCUGGAGUGGACCGCGCCCAAAGACAACGGCAACACAGAAAUCACGGGCUACACCAUCCAGAAGGCCGACAAGAAGACUGGAGACUGGUUCACUGUCCUGGAACACUACCACAGGCUCAACGCCACCAUCUCUGACCUCAUCAUGGGCAACACCUACAAGUUCCGAGUGUUUUCCGAGAAUAAGUGCGGUAUCAGCGAGGAGUCCGCCGUCACCAAAGACGAGGCGACGAUUCUCAAGACAGGAAUCGUCUACCACGCUCCCGAGUACAAGGAGCACGACUUCACCGAGGCGCCCAAGUUCACCACGCCUCUGGCCAACCGGGCCACCACAGUGGGCUACAGCACCAAGCUGCUGUGCUCCGUCAGAGGGUUCCCCAAGCCCAAGAUCGAAUGGCUCAAGAACCAGAUGAUCAUCGGAGAAGACCCUAAAUUCCGGCAGAUCUGCGUCCAGGGUAUCUGCUCCCUGGAGAUCCGCAAACCGGUUAGCUUUGACGGCGGCGUGUACACCUGCAGGGCCAAGAACCACCAUGGCGAGGUCACCAUCAGCUGCAAGUUGGAGGUCAAACAGCCGAUGAUUUCAGAGGCAGACAAGAAGAAGUAGGGCGUUAGAUUCUUUCACGCAGCUCAACUUCUAAUCUUUGACCAAGCAUGAAAUAUUUCCACUUUCCUGUGACGUCCUUCUAACCUAACACCUGUCCUGCUUGUUUGGAUACUAAAUCCGGGCGCAGGCAGCCAGGCCUGGCAGCAUAAGGAAGGUACUGGAGGCCCUGGAAGAGCAUGUACAUACUGGCUGAUGACCACACGGUCUCACACUCCACCAGAGUUCUCUCCAAACCCUAAGCUCCACAUUUACGUGUUUGUAUCAAUUUCAUUUGUGCUCUUUGUGUUUUCUGUAAUUAAACACACGAUGACGGCUGUGGAUAAGAAAGGCAAAUAAGUCAAGACAAUAAUCGUGUAAGAAAACAAAAGUCAACAAGUGGUCAGAACAUGAAGGACCAGCGAAGGAAUAAGUUGUCUGUUACAGAAAAGUACUUCAAAUAAACAAUGUCUAAAUAA